rnacentral:rRNA from 1 species
AUCUUGCUUUUGAUGGGCGUCAACCGGCGCACGGGUGAGUAACGCGUAUCCAACCUGCCCAUCACUUGGGGAUAACCUUGCGAAAGUAAGACUAAUACCCAAUGAUAUCUCUAGAAGACAUCUGAAAGAGAUUAAAGAUUUAUCGGUGAUGGAUGGGGAUGCGUCUGAUUAGCUUGUUGGCGGGGUAACGGCCCACCAAGGCGACUAUCAGUAGGGGUUCUGAGAGGAAGGUCCCCCACAUUGGAACUGAGACACGGUCCAAACUCCUACCGGAGGCAGCAGUGAGGAAUAUUGGUCAAUGGACCAGAGUCUGAACCAGCCAAGUAGCGUGCAGGAUGACGGCCCUAUGGGUUGUAAACUGCUUUUAUAAGGGAAUAAAGUGAGAGUCGUGACUCUUUUUGCAUGUACCUUAUGAAUAAGGACCGGCUAAUUCCGUGCCAGCAGCCGCGGUAAUACGGAAGGUCCGGGCGUUAUCCGGAUUUAUUGGGUUUAAAGGGAGCGUAGGCCGGACAUUAAGCGUGUUGUGAAAUGUAUACGCUCA